rnacentral:rRNA from 1 species
GUUAGGAAUAUUGGACAAUGGGCGCAAGCCUGACCCAGCCACGCCGCGUGAGUGAUGAAGGCCUUCGGGUUGUAAAGCUCUGUGGGGAGGGAAGAAAAAGCGCAGGAGUAACUGCCUGUGUGUUGACGGUACCUCCUUAGCAAGCACCGGCUAACUCUGUGCCAGCAGCCGCGGUAAUACAGAGGGUGCAAACGUUGCUCGGAAUUACUGGGCGUAAAGCGCGUGUAGGCUGACAUGCAAGUCGGGUGUGAAAUCCCAGGGCUCAACCUUGGAAAUGCACUCGAAACUGCACGGCUUGAGUACUGGAGAGGGAAGCGGAAUUCCGGGUGUAGAGGUGAAAUUCGUAGAUAUCCGGAGGAACACCAGUGGCGAAGGCGGCUUCCUGGACAGUAACUGACGCUGAGACGCGAAAGCGUGGGGAGCAAACAGGAUUAGAAACCCCUGUAGUCC